rnacentral:rRNA from 1 species
AAUGGGGGCAACCCUGAUCUAGCCAUGCCGCGUGAGUGAAGAAGGCCUUAGGGUCGUAAAGCUCUUUCAGCUGGGAAGAUAAUGACGGUACCAGCAGAAGAAGCCCCGGCUAACUCCGUGCCAGCAGCCGCGGUAAUACGGAGGGGGCUAGCGUUGUUCGGAAUUACUGGGCGUAAAGCGCGCGUAGGCGGGCUGUUAAGUCGGGGGUGAAAUCCCGGGGCUCAACCCCGGAACUGCCUCCGAUACUGGCAGCCUAGAGAUCGAGAGGGGUGAGUGGAAUUCCGAGUGUAGAGGUGAAAUUCGUAGAUAUUCGGAGGAACACCAGUGGCGAAGGCGGCUCACUGGCUCGAUACUGACGCUGAGGCGCGAAAGCGUGGGGAGCAAACAGGAUU